rnacentral:rRNA from 1 species
AGCAGUCGCCGCGGGAAUACGUAGGUGGCAAGCGUUGUCCGGAAUUAUUGGGCGUAAAGGGCUCGCAGGCGGUUUCUUAAGUCUGAUGUGAAAGCCCCCGGCUCAACCGGGGAGGGUCAUUGGAAACUGGAAACUUGAGUGCAGAAGAGGAGAGUGGAAUUCCACGUGUAGCGGUGAAAUGCGUAGAGAUGUGGAGGAACACCAGUGGCGAAGGCGACUCUCUGGUCUGUAACUGACGCUGAGGAGCGAAAGCGUGGGGAGCGAACAGGAUUAGAUACCCCGGUAGUCCCUGUCUCUUAUACA